UCUGAACCAGCCAUGCCGCGUGCAGGAUGACUGCCCUAUGGGGUUGUAAACUACUUUUAUACAGGAAGAAACGUACCCUCGUGAGGGUGCCUGACGGUACUGUAGGAAUAAGACACCGGCUAACUCCGUGCCAGCAGCCGCGGUAAUACGGAGGGUGCGAGCGUUAUCCGGAUUUAUUGGGUUUAAAGGGUCCGUAGGCGGAUUAAUAAGUCAGUGGUGAAAUCCCAUCGCUUAACGAUGGAACUGCCAUUGAUACUGUUAGUCUUGAAUGAGGGUGCAGUGGUUGGAAUGUGUAGUGUAGCGGUGAAAUGCAUAGAUAUUACACAGAACACCGAUUGCGAAGGCAGAUCACUAACCCUAAAUUGACGCUGAGGGACGAAAGCGUGGGGAGCGAACAGGAUUAGAUACCCUGGUAG
rnacentral:rRNA from 1 species